GUGGGGAAUAUUGGACAAUGGGCGAAAGCCUGAUCCAGCCAUGCCGCGUGUGUGAAGAAGGUCUUCGGAUUGUAAAGCACUUUAAGUUGGGAGGAAGGGCAGUAAGUUAAUACCUUGCUGUUUUGACGUUACCGACAGAAUAAGCACCGGCUAACUUCGUGCCAGCAGCCGCGGUAAUACGAAGGGUGCAAGCGUUAAUCGGAAUUACUGGGCGUAAAGCGCGCGUAAGUGGUUUUGUAAGUUGGAGGUGAAAUCCCCGGGCUCAACCUGGGAACUGCCUCCAAAACUGCAUGACUAGAGUACGGUAGAGGGUAGUGGAAUUUCCUGUGUAGCGGUGAAAUGCGUAGAUAUAGGAAGGAACACCAGUGGCGAAGGCGACUACCUGGACUGAUACUGACACUGAGGUGCGAAAGCGUGGGGAGCAAACAGGAUUAGAUACCCCAGUAGUCC
rnacentral:rRNA from 1 species